rnacentral:rRNA from 1 species
UACGGGGGGAGCAAGCGUUGUUCGGAUUUACUGGGCGUAAAGGGCGCGUAGGCGGCGCAACAAGUCACUUGUGAAAUCUCCGGGCUUAACCCGGAGCGGUCAAGUGAUACUGUCGUGCUAGAGUGCGGAAGGGGCUACUGGAAUUCUCGGUGUAGCGGUGAAAUGCGUAGAUAUCCGGAGGAACACCGAUGGCGAAGGCAGCUCGGCUGGGAC